rnacentral:sRNA from 1 species
UCCCUGUUGCUGCAAUCUUCUAUGUUGGC